UACGGAGGGUGCAAGCGUUAUCCGGAUUCACUGGGUUUAAAGGGUGCGUAGGUGGGCAGGUAAGUCAGUGGUGAAAUCUCCGGGCUUAACCCGGAAACUGCCAUUGAUACUAUCUGUCUUGAAUACCGUGGAGGUCAGCGGAAUAUGUCAUGUAGCGGUGAAAUGCUUAGAUAUGACAUAGAACACCAAUUGCGAAGGCAGCUGGCUACACGAAUAUUGACACUGAUGCACGAAAGCGUGGGGAUCAAACAGG
rnacentral:rRNA from 1 species